UACGGAGGAUCCAAGCGUUAUCCGGAUUUAUUGGGUUUAAAGGGUGCGUAGGCGGAUUGAUAAGUCAGUGUUGAAAGGCUAAAGCUUAACUUUAGAAUUGGCAUUGAUACUGUUAGUCUUGAGUACAGAUGAAGUGGGCGGAAUGUGUCAUGUAGCGGUGAAAUGCAUAGAUAUGACACAGAACACCGAUUGCGAAGGCAGCUCACUAAGUUGUAACUGACGCUGAGGCACGAAAGCGUGGGGAUCAAACAGG
rnacentral:rRNA from 1 species